GGUAGCGUGGCCGAGCGGUCUAAGGCGCUGGUUUAAGGCACCAGUCUCUUCGAGGUGGUUCGAACCCCACCGCUGCCG
rnacentral:tRNA from 13 species